AUUGAACGCUGGCGGCAGGCUUAACACAUGCAAGUCGAGCGGGGGAAGGUAGCUUGCUACUGGACCUAGCGGCGGACGGGUGAGUAAUGCUUAGGAAUCUGCCUAUUAGUGGGGGACAACAUCUCGAAAGGGAUGCUAAUACCGCAUACGUCCUACGGGAGAAAGCAGGGGAUCUUCGGCCCUUGCGCUAAUAGAUGAGCCUAAGUCGGAUUAGCUAGUUGGCGGGGUAAAGGCCUACCAAGGCGACGAUCUGUAGCGGGUCUGAGAGGAUGAUCCGCCACACUGGGACUGAGACACGGCCCAGACUCCUACGGGAGGCAGCAGUGGGGAAUAUUGGACAAUGGGGGGAACCCUGAUCCAGCCAUGCCGCGUGUGUGAAGAAGGCCUUAUGGUUGUAAAGCACUUUAAGCGAGGAGGAGGCUACUUUAGUUAAUACCUAGAGAUAGUGGACGUUACUCGCAGAAUAAGCACCGGCUAACUCUGUGCCAGCAGCCGCCGUAA
rnacentral:rRNA from 1 species